AUUGAACGCUGGCGGCAGGCCUAACACAUGCAAGUCGAACGAGUGGCGGACGGGUGAGUAAUGUCUGGGAAACUGCCCGAUGGAGGGGGAUAACUACUGGAAACGGUAGCUAAUACCGCAUACCAUCGGAUGUGCCCAGAUGGGAUUAGCUAGUAGGUGGGGUAACGGCUGACCUAGUCAACGAUCCAUAGCUGGUCUGAGCGGUUGACCAUCCACACUGGAACGGAGACACGGUCCAGACUCCGACGGGAGGCAGCAGUGGGGAAUAUUGCACAAUGGGCGAAAGCCUGAUGCAGCCAUGCCGCGUGUGUGAAGAAGGUCUUCGGGUUGUAAAGUACUUUCAGCGAGGAGGCGUUACUCGCCGAAGAAGCACCGGCUAACUCCGUGCCAGCAGCCGCGGUAAUAC
rnacentral:rRNA from 1 species